CCGAGAUAAAAAGAGGACAAACACUUGUGGGGGGAUGUAUAGAAACAAGAGAAGAAGUGUGCGUGUGUGUGUGUGGAGGGGUCUGGCGGGCGAAAACCCAGACGCUCCAGAAUUAAAGGAGAUAGCCUUCUACAAACCAGCAGUUUACCACGUGAUCCACCUGUAAUAUUUCCCUAUUUUGUCACACAUUUUUGUCCAUGGCACAUUUGCAAAGAUCUGAUCACAGAGCGGCAGUGUCUUUAAUCCGGCUCCACGAGCUUUGAAGUGAGAGAAUCUAAACGUGACGUCAAUGCCUAGUACUGACGCAGCCCUUCAACAACAAAAAAAAAGCAGUUAUUUUUUUUUUACCUCCUCUCGUCGGUAAAGCUUGAUUACUACAUUUCACAUCGCUCCGUCGACUGAAAGAACAAAAUGAAAAUCAGCGUCGGGUAAUCCGCCUUCGUCAGUAUUUGGAGCUAUUUCGCGUUCAUGAGUUCCAGCUGACACUGGGACGCAGAGCUUCGGAAGAGGGCGACAAGACAUCAAAUAUCGUCGAUGAUAUUGGCAGCGGCGACGAGUUCCAGAUUUUUGCCGUAGAGAGUGAAAGAAGUUUAAGGAUGAGAAUGAGGUGCUGCGCUGUUGGAAGGGACAUUGAGUUUAAAAAAAUCACUGCAAUGAUGCAACGGAGAGGGGUUCUUGUGCAGAGUUGGAAAGCCUGAAUUAAUCGGCAUGACAUGCACUUCACGUAGUGUUCUUAAGCGAUGUCUUUCGUGAGUGUUUUUUUUUCCUACCGCGCACUGUGACCUAAAAAUAGCAUCAUAGUUUGGGUCGUGCGCCAUAAAUAGACAGAUGGGUAUCACUUGUAUAAAAGGGAGGCGAUCCUGAGCUGGACGUGCCACUCUCGAACGACGACGUGCCCGUACCAUGGAGAGAAACAAUGAAAAGAGGAACAGGAGCAAAUAUGGAGAAGAGGUGUGUGCCUGGGUGAACCCUGCCCAUUGGAGCCUCCAGGUGUGCGCCACAGGGACAUAAAGAACAAACAGGGAACUAAUGAUUUGGAUAUUUUAGAACCGCACAUAGCGAGCGAGACAACGACGGACCGACCGACCUUCCUCCACCUCGUCCUCUUCCCUAACCCGAGACAGGACUUGAUUGUGAGAGGAGAGGGGGAACUAACACGCAGGAGGAGGCAGUGGGACAAACUGGUUCGACUGGGACACACCCGGCACACAGUCAUCAAAUCCCAGUGUGGGAAGAUAAAAAGGAGAAAAGGACAACAAGAGUGCAGCCUCUAAACUGUCGGACUGCGAGGAAACUACCGACAGGGGGACUCACAAAACGUCCGAUAGUAGUUGGUGUGAGUGUGUAUGAAUGUAGUGAAUUGAAUAUUGUUGGCAAAUAUUUGUGUUAAAAAAGUAGCUCCAAAUGGGAGACGGCAAGAUGAUACGCGUUUAUUAAAUUGUACUUGUAUAUAUAAUAUUAAAAGUGCAACCAGUGCUGGAAAAAGUUUAUUUAUUAAGAUUAUUUAGUGACAGACUGCAUUGUUGUAAAUACAUUUACAUACAAACAUCAUCAUAGAUGCUCCGAGAUUUGUGUAAUUAAUUUCACCCGGUUUGCAAUUGUUAAACAACAGCUGCUCCUUCCUCUCCCUCGGUCACGUUGCCUUCGAUCCUCUCCACUUGUGUCAAAAAAUGCGAGCAGCUGGACGACGGCCGUCCGCGCGUGGACACAUUUUUAUACUCUGGUCCCUCUGCUGAGCACACGACAGGCUUUUGUUUGUGCCAGAGAGCAUCCGUGUGUCCCAAUUUUAUGUUUAGUUUGUCUCAGUAUGAGAGCGAGAGUUGCGUUUGUGUGUGUGGGGGGGGGGGGGAUCUCCUUCUGGUUCGUCCUGCUGAGGAGAAAUGAGGUCGAUGUGAAACAGCCUGCCUGGCUCAUUUAUGUGCAUAAAGAUGUUAAACAAGUUCAUUAAAGCUUUGGGAAAAUCCACAUGCCUGUCAAAGUGUUUGUGUUACGCACACGUCACAUAUCACGAUGCGGUGUCUUGGUCGGGGGGGCGCUACUAUCGCGAGAGUCUUGUAAAAUAAAGAAGACGCGAAAGUUGG
ensembl:lncRNA